rnacentral:rRNA from 1 species
UACGUAGGGUGCGAGCGUUAAUCGGAAUUACUGGGCGUAAAGCGUGCGCAGGCGGUUCGUUAAGUUCGUUGUGAAAUCCCCGGGCCUAACCUGGGAACUGCAUUUGUGACUGCAUAGCUAGAGUUUGUCAGAGGGGGGUGGAAUUCCACGUGUAGCAGUGAAAUGCGUAGAUAUGUGGAGGAACACCGAUGGCGAAGGCAGCCCCCUGGGAUGUGACUGACGCUCAUGUACGAAAGCGUGGGGAGCAAACAGG